rnacentral:rRNA from 1 species
AGGAUUAACGCUGGCGGCGUGCCUAACACAUGCAAGUCGAACGGACCUUUAUUUUUGAGACGCCCCAUAUCCUUGGAGCAUCCCAUAAAUAAUGGUUAGUGGCGGACGGGUGAGUAACACGUUGGUACCUGCCCUCUAGUGGGGGAUAAGCCCGAGAAAUCGGGUCUAAUACCGCAUGUGAUCUACGGAUCAAAGCAGCAAUGCGCUAGAGGAGGGGCCUGCGGCUGAUUAGCUUGUUGGUAGGGUAAUGGCCUACCAAGGCGACGAUCAGUAGCUGGAUCGAGAGGUUGACCAGCCACACUGGGACUGAGAUACGGCCCAGACUCCUACGGGAGGCAGCAGUGAGGAAUUUUCCACAAUGGACGAAAGU